GACGAACGCUGGCGGCGGGCUUAACACAUGCAAGUCGAACGGAAAGGCCCUGCUUUUGUGGGGUGCUCGAGUGGCGAACGGGUGAGUAACACGUGAGUAACCUGCCCUUGACUUUGGGAUAGCUUCAGGAAACGGGGGCUAAUACCGGAUAGGAGCCCCUGCUGCAUGGUGGGGGUUGGAAAGUUUCGGCGGUUGGGGAUGGACGCGCGGCUUAUCAGCUUGUUGGUGGGGUAGUGGCUUACCAAGGCUUUGACGGGUAGCCGGCCUGAGAGGGUGACCGGCCACAUUGGGCCUGCGAGACGGCCCAGACUCCUACGGGAGGCAGCAGUGGGGAAUCUUGCCCAAUGGGCGGGAGCCUGAUGCAGCAACGCCGCGUGCGGGAUGCCGGCCUUCGGGUUGUAAACCGCUUUCGCCUGUGACGAAGCGUGAGUGACGGUAAUGGGUAAAGAAGCACCGGCUAACUACGUG
rnacentral:rRNA from 1 species